UAGCCGUAAACGAUACUCGCUAGGUGUCGGCCACGGUGCGACCGUUGUCGGUGCCGUAGGGAAGCCGUGAAGCGAGCCACCUGGGAAGUACGGCCGCAAGGCUGAAACCUAAAGGAAUUGGCGGGGGAGCACCACAACGGGUGGAGCUUGCGGUUUAAUUGGAUUCAACGCCGGAAAUCUUACCGGGACCGACAGCAACAUGAAGGCCAGACUGAAGACUUUGCCGGAUUAGCUGAGAGGUGGUGCAUGGCGUAGUCGUGU
rnacentral:rRNA from 1 species